GGUUCCGUGGUGUAGUUAGUGGUUAUCACGUGAGUUUAACACACUCAAGGUCCUGGGUUCGAUCCCCGGCGGAACAUCU